CAGUCGCCACGGUAAUACGUAGGGUGCAAGCGUUAAUCGGAAUUACUGGGCGUAAAGCGUGCGCAGGCGGUUAUAUAAGACAGAUGUGAAAUCCCCGGGCUCAACCUGGGAACUGCAUUUGUGACUGUAUAGCUAGAGUACGGCAGAGGGGGAUGGAAUUCCGCGUGUAGCAGUGAAAUGCGUAGAUAUGCGGAGGAACACCGAUGGCGAAGGCAAUCCCCUGGGCCUGUACUGACGCUUAUGCACGAAAGCGUGGGGAGCAAACAGGAUUAGAUACCCGGGUAGUCCCUGUCUCUUAUAC
rnacentral:rRNA from 1 species